CCCCAUCAUCUUUAAAAAACUUAUUUCAUUAUUUAAUCUCCCUCUCGCUCGCUCUCUCAUUGCUUUCUAACUCUGCUUUCAUAUUUUGAUUUCUCUCUCAUCUGCCUUCUAACUAUUUUUGCGUAACUUAAUCUCUCUCUCUAAUAUGCUGCUUUGAUAAUUUAAAUUUUUUUUUAAAUUAAUCAUGAAUAUUGCGUUCUGAUUAUGUUUUUUACUGAAGAAUAUGGAAGUUUUUAUAUUUUUUAGUUGGGAUUUGGUGUUCUUUUUCUCUCUUUAUUUAGAGGAUUUUAGAGUUUAGGAUUUUAUAUAUGUUUUUCUUUAUCUAGGGUAUUUUAGAGUUCAGGGUUCUAUGACUGUUUUUGUGGGUUAUUGGUUUUAUUUUUUCUGAUAUUUUUUACUGUAAAAUACAGGUGAAAAUAUGAAUAAAAGAAUCAAUUUGGGUUCAAUGAAUCUUUUAGCAAUUAAAAGAAAUAGUAAAUUUACUGAUCAAUUUGGGUUCAAUGCAUUUUUUUCUGAUAUUUAAGGAGUUUGGAUUCAUUUAAUCUGAUUAUUUGGUUUAUUUAAUUUGUAUAUUGGAAGCUUGCAAACAUGUUUAUUCAAUUAAAUUUCUUACAUUUUGGUUCAUAUUAAACACAGUGAAUCUAAAGAGCAUAUAGAACCUUCUGUAACAAUGAACAAUACCUCAUUUUCUUUUUUCAUUUAUUCCUGUCAUUUUGGAUUGAGUUUUCACAGAGAGAUGGAGGGAGUCUACUUCGAUGCGAAGUUUCCUUGAAGAAAUAGCGCGAACCUAAAAUUUCGGGAAAUUUCGUAUCGGAUCUUGCCCCUUCGACGUCUGGUAUGGUCUUUCCGCUUUCUCACUGAAACGAAACCCCGAAACUCAAUCAAAUUGCCGAAAUUUCGGUCCGCAGAUUCGGCCCCGAAUCACGUUCACGCUUGUCGAAAGCAUGUAAAUCGCCCUUCAAAAGCCAGUUACUUCCAAGCUCUCUUCCUGGUUAACAAUGGCGACUGAAAAUCCCGAAAAUUUUGGGGUGAAUUUCUUGAAAAUGCUGCGGAUUAGAAGAAGAAAAGAAGUGCCUCUCACUGUGGAGCUUUCUAAGCCAGUAACAAACCCUAUAUAUCAAGGGGUUCCUCCUCCAAGAUCGAGCGAGGCCAUGGAGUCGUGCCCUAAAAGAGAUGGAUACGUGAAAGAUGAUUUUGCAGAGGAAAAUCUCUAUCUCUAUACAGAGGAAGGUGAGCAAGGACGCUUGCCAGUGUUGAUUCUCAGCCUGAGGGAGAGAAAUCAAUGUAGAAGGCCUGCAGUUGUAAUUUUGCAUAGCUCCUAUAAAUGCAAGGAAUGGAUACGGCCAUUACUUGAGGCUUAUGCUUCACGAGGAUAUGUAGCAGUUUCGGUCGAUUCCCGCUAUCAUGGUGAACGAGCAAAUAGUGCGACAGCUUAUCGAGAUGCGCUCGUGUCAGCAUUGAAGAAUGGUGAUACAAUGCCUUUCAUUUAUGACACGGUGUGGGACUUGAUAAAAUUGGCUGAUUAUCUUACUGGGAGAAAAGAUGUUGAUCCUUCAAGAAUAGGGAUAACUGGUGAAUCACUAGGAGGCAUGCAUGCAUGGUUUGCAGCUGCCGCAGAUACUCGUUAUGCAGUAGGUGUCCCCAUAAUUGGUGUACAGGGAUUUCGAUGGGCCGUAGAAAAUGGUAGAUGGCAUGCUCGAGUAGAAAGUAUAAAAGCUGUAUUUGAAGGUGAGAUCAGUUCUUGGGCAGCUUCGUGUUGGCUGGAUGGCACAUCACAUAUGCAUCGUAAAUGCAUAGCACCAAAUCAUCCUGAUUUAUGGAACUUGCCACGCUUCAUGUUUUUUAGGUGGAAAAGACUAACUUACGUGAUUUAGUCGAUAUGGUUUCUUUCUUAUUUGUUACAUGAAAUAUGGGAUACAAUGUAUAAGGUUUCAUCUAUCUUCCUUUUCUUUCAGAAAUUGAUAGAAUUCACUUAAAAAAAGUCUGGACUAUCCUAAGUUACCAAAGAUAACAGAAAGUUCUAGUUGGAAGCACCCCAUAAGUGACCGCCCUCUCACAUUUGCAGAAGCAAAUGAGCAUAUGUUUAUGUAAAAUAAGCACGGACGGAUCUAUGUAAAAGUGAGAUUGAUAGCGAAAUAGUGGAGAAGGUUUGCUUAGCUUUAUGAUUUUCUUUUCAACAUGGUCAGUGGCUAUAGAUUAUAUUUUUCAUUUUACAUGAAAAGCCUCCAAUGGCUAGAACUGAAUAAUUGAUCUGCAAGCACACAAAAGGCAGAUGCUCUUCCCACCCAAAUUCUCUCUCUC